rnacentral:rRNA from 1 species
UACGUAGGGUGCGAGCGUUAAUCGGAAUUACUGGGCGUAAAGGGCGCGCAGGCGGCUCUGAAAGUCAGAUGUGAAAGCCCCGGGCUUAACCUGGGAACUGCAUUUGAUACUCUAGAGCUUGAGUACGGGAGAGGAGAGUGGAAUUCCCAGUGUAGAGGUGAAAUUCGUAGAUAUUGGGAAGAACACCGGUGGCGAAGGCGGCUCUCUGGACCGUAACUGACGCUGAGGCGCGAAAGCGUGGGGAGCAAACAGG